UACAGAGGGGGCGCGCGUUAAUCGGAAUUACUGGGCGUAAAGCGCACGUAGUCGGCUUUGCAAGUCGGUUGUGAAAUCCCCGGGCUCAACCUGGGAACUGCAUCCGAGACUGCAUUGCUAGAGUAUGGGAGAGGAAAGCGGAAUUUCUGGUGUAGCAGUGAAAUGCGUAGAUAUCAGAAGGAACAUCAGUGGCGAAGGCGGCUUUCUGGACCAAUACUGACGAUCAGGUGCGAAAGCGUGGGGAGCAAACAGG
rnacentral:rRNA from 1 species